GCGAAAGCGUGGGAGCAAACAGGAUAGAUACCUGGUAGUCACGCUGUAAACGAUGUCGAUUUGGAGGUUGUUCCCUUGAGGAGUGGCUUCCGGAGCUAACGCGUUAAAUCGACCGCUGGGGAGUACGGCCGCAAGGUUAAAACUCAAAUGAAUUGACGGGGGCCCGCACAAGCGGUGGAGCAUGUGGUUUAAUUCGAUGCAACGCGAAGAACCUUACCUACUCUUGACAUCCAGAGAAUUUAGCAGAGAUGCUUUAGUGCCUUCGGGAACUCUGAGACAGGUGCUGCAUGGCUGUCGUCAGCUCGUGUUGUGAAAUGUUGGGUUAAGUCCCGCAACGAGCGCAACCCUUAUCCUUUGUUGCCAGCACAUUAUGGUGGGAACUCAAAGGAGACUGCCGGUGAUAAACCGGAGGAAGGUGGGGAUGACGUCAAGUCAUCAUGGCCCUUACGAGUAGGGCUACACACGUGCUACAAUGGCGUAUACAAAGAGAAGCGACCUCGCGAGAGCAAGCGGAACUCAUAAAGUACGUCGUAGUCCGGAUUGGAGUCUGCAACUCGACUCCAUGAAGUCGGAAUCGCUAGUAAUCGUAGAUCAGAAUGCUACGGUGAAUACGUUCCCGGGCCUUGUACACACCGCCCGUCACACCAUGGGAGUGGGUUGCAAAAGAAGUAGGUAGCUUAACCUUCGGGAGGGCGCUUACCACUUUGUGAUUCAUGACUGGGGUGAAGUCGUAACAAGGUAACCA
rnacentral:rRNA from 1 species